rnacentral:rRNA from 1 species
CCUACGGGAGGCAGCAGUGAGGAAUAUUGGUCAAUGGGCGCGAGUCUGAACCAGCCAAGUAGCGUGAAGGAUGACUGCCCUAUGGGUUGUAAACUUCUUUUAUAUGGGAAUAAAAUGUUGCACGUGUGCCAUUUUGUAUGUACCAUAUGAAUAAGGAUCGGCUAACUCCGUGCCAGCAGCCGCGGUAAUACGGAGGAUCCGAGCGUUAUCCGGAUUUAUUGGGUUUAAAGGGAGCGUAGGUGGGUUGUUAAGUCAGUUGUGAAAGUUUGCGGCUCAACCGUAAAAUUGCAGUUGAAACUGGCAGUCUUGAGUACAGUUGAGGUAGGCGGAAUUCGUGGUGUAGCGGUGAAAUGCUUAGAUAUCACGAAGAACUCCGAUUGCGAAGGCAGCUCACUGGACUGCAACUGACACUGAGGCUCGAAAGUGUGGGUAUCAAACAGGAUUAGAUACCCUGGUAGUC